GAUGAACGCUGGCGGCGUGCUUAACACAUGCAAGUCGAACGAUGAUCCGGUGCUUGCAUCGGGGAUUAGUGGCGAACGGGUGAGUAACACGUGAGUAACCUGCCCUUAACUCUGGGAUAAGCCUGGGAAACUGGGUCUAAUACCGGAUAUGACUCCUCAUCGCAUGGCGGGGGGUGGAAAGCUUUUGUUGUUUUGGUUGGACUUGCGGCCUAUGAGCUUGUUGGUGAGGUAGUGGCUCACCAAGGCGACGACGGGUAGCCGGCCUGACAGGGUGACAGGACGCACAGGUACUUAGAGACGGCCCAGGCUCCUACUGGAGACAGCAGUGGAGAAUAUUGCACAAUGGGCGGAAGCCUGAUGCAGCGACGCCGCGUGAGGGAUGACGGCCUUCGGGUUGUAAACCUCUUUCAGUAGGGAAGAAGCGAAAGUGACGGUACCUGCAGAAGAAGCGCCGGCUAACUACGUGCCAGCCGCCGCGGUAAAAC
rnacentral:rRNA from 1 species